rnacentral:rRNA from 1 species
GAUGAACGCUGGCGGCGUGCCUAAUACAUGCAAGUCGAGCGAACAGACGAGGAGCUUGCUCCUCUGACGUUAGCGGCGGACGGGUGAGUAACACGUGUAUAACCUACCUAUAAGACUGGGAUAACUUCGGGAAACCUGAGCUAAUACCGGAUAAUAUAUUGAACCGCAUGGUUCAAUAGUGAAAGACGGUUUUGCUGUCACUUAUAGAUGGAUCCGCGCCGCAUUAGCUAGUUGGUAAGGUAACGGCUUACCAAGGCAACGAUGCGUAGCCGACCUGAGAGGGUGAUCGGCCACACUGGAACUGAGACACGGUCCAGACUCCUACGGGAGGCAGCAGUAGGGAAUCUUCCGCAAUGGGCGAAAGCUUGACGGAGCAACGCCGCGUGAGUGAUGAAGGUCUUCGGAUCGUAAAACUCUGUUAUUAGGGAAGAACAAAUGUGUAAGUAACUAUGCACGUCUUGACGGUACCUAAUCAGAAAGCCACGGCUAACUACGUG